rnacentral:rRNA from 1 species
GAUGAACGCUGGCGGCGUGCUUAACACAUGCAAGUCGAACGGACACAUCUUUCGGGGUGUGUUAGUGGCAGACGGGUGCGUAACACGUAGGUAACCUGCCCUGGAGUGGGGAAUAAUUCCGCUAACGCGGGACUAAUACCGCAUAGGCUCGGUAGCGUGAGGCUACAGAGUAAAGCUGUGAGGCGCUUCAGGAUGGGCCUGCGGCGGAUUAGGUAGUUGGUGGGGUAACGGCCUACCAAGCCGAUGAUCCGUAGGGGGCGUGAGAGCGUGGCCCCCCACACUGGCACUGAGAUACGGGCCAGACUCCUACGGGAGGCAGCAGUGAGGAAUAUUGCACAAUGGGCGCAAGCCUGAUGCAGCAACGCCGCGUGCGGGACGACGGGCCUUCGGGUUGUAACCGGACUUUUCUUCGAGGGACGGAGCGAGGACGGUACCGUUAGGAAUAAGUACUCGGCGUACUACGUGCCAGCAGCCGGGUAAGUCUACGUCUACG